ensembl:misc_RNA 7SK 7SK RNA
GGAUGUGAAGGCAAUCUGGCUGCAGCAUGUCAUGCCACUGAUCACCACGGCUGAUUCAGCUGACCUGGCUGGUUAGGCAGGUGUCUCUUCCUCCUUCCCCACUCC